rnacentral:rRNA from 1 species
GAUGAACGCUGACAGAAUGCUUAACACAUGCAAGUCAACUUGAACUUCGGUUUGGGUGGCGGACGGGUGAGUAACGCGUAAAGAACUUGCCUCACAGAUAGGGACAACAUUUGGAAACGAAUGCUAAUACCUGAUUUUAUGAUUAUAUGGCAUCGUAUAAUUAUGAAAGCUAUAUGCGCUGUGAGAGAGCUUUGCGUCCCAUUAGCUAGUUGGAGAGGUAACGGCUCACCAAGGCGAUGAUGGGUAGCCGGCCUGAGAGGGUGAUCGGCCACAAGGGGACUGAGACACGGCCCUUACUCCUACGGGAGGCAGCAGUGGGGAAUAUUGGACAAUGGACCAAGAGUCUGAUCCAGCAAUUCUGUGUGCACGAUGAAGUUUUUCGGAAUGUAAAGUGCUUUCAGUUGGGAAGAAAAAAAUGACGGUACCAACAGAAGAAGUGACGGCUAAAUACGUG